rnacentral:rRNA from 1 species
AUUGAACGCUGGCGGCAUGCCUUACACAUGCAAGUCGAACGGUAACAGGUCUUCGGAUGCUGACGAGUGGCGAACGGGUGAGUAAUACAUCGGAACGUGCCUAGUAGUGGGGGAUAACUACUCGAAAGAGUGGCUAAUACCGCGUGAGAUCUACGGAUGAAAGCAGGGGAUCGCAAGACCUUGUGCUACUAGAGCGGCCGAUGGCAGAUUAGGUAGUUGGUGGGAUAAAAGCUUACCAAGCCGACGAUCUGUAGCUGGUCUGAGAGGACGAUCAGCCACACUGGGACUGAGACAUGGCCCAGACUCCUACGGGAGGCAGCAGUGGGGAAUUUUGGACAAUGGGCGCAAGCCUGAUCCAGCAAUGCCGCGUGCAGGAUGAAGGCCUUCGGGUUGUAAACUGCUUUUGUACGGAACGAAAAGCCCUGGGUUAAUACCCUGGGGUCAUGACGGUACCGUAAGAAUAAGCACCGGCUAACUACGUGCCAGCCGCCGCGGUAAGAC